UCCUUUUCCUAUGGUGUGGGAAUCGAGGGAGGACUGGUUAAUUCAUGCUGAUAAGCAGUGUUCCCUGAAAUUCCAAGUAUUAUUAAUGGUAUCAGUAUGGUUGGGCAUGCUUUCUGGCUUUUCAUGAAGCCAGAAGUAAAAGUAAAGCUCAGAUAAAGAGACACUUGGCAUUCCUAUUCUGUAAUAUUUACUACAGUCUAAUGAUUGCCACUGCAUAUUCUUGCGAAGUAUUCACCAGCCCUGAGGGGUGGAACAACUCAGCAGGAUAUCUGCAUUACAACUGGACUAUUAUUCCUACUGAGAGAGGACCUGAGGGAAUAUUUUUACUUUUCAACAGCUCCUGCUGUGCCUCGAUGUGCACACUCCAUCUGGACUAACACCUUCAGCAGUUCUCCUCUCUGCCUGCCAGGCUGGCCUAGCGGUGUGACAAGCCUCCUAGUUUAUCACGGAGCCGUGGGGAAGUUGAGUCACGGAGAGAUGAUGUCCUGUAGGUCACCUGUUAAGCAGGGUGGAAGAGGUGAGAAGGAGAAGCUGGCUGGCUGAGCUCUGUCUGGGAGACCCGUGCUCUGAUUGCUACCUCUUACUGAAAACCUGAGGAAGAAUCCACAAUGAAGCCUGGAAAAGCUUGCUGGUGCUAGACAAGAGAGAAUGGGCAGGAUGUAUGUGAAGUAUCAUUCAGUGUCCAUACAGAGAGUGAUUUUGGGCCAGGAAGUGGAGAAGACCAGAGCAGGUAUAUAGCACAUUAUCCUUGAUGGGGGAGAGUUGACAAAGAAAACACUCGUCUUUCCAAAAAUGACUUCAUCCGCUGUAAUUGUUUAUAGGAGGACAGGUCUGGAACAAAACCUGAGUGCCACUUUGGAAGACCUAACACCUCCUCAGUAAUCAGCAGCUGAUGCAGCCUGAACAUCUCCUAUUACUGUUAAUUUGUCCUUAAAAACUCCUUCAGAAAGCAGACUAUGGCUGGAGCUUCUGUUCUCUUAAACAUGACCCAUUACGUCAGACCUCACUGACAUACGGCUCUAACGAGCCAAGCUGCAGAUGGUCUGAGGUGUUGCCAUCCAUACCUGUCCUGCCUUUUCCAGAGGCGACUUCCCUUCAACAGAAUUGGUGAAAGAGAUCAAUACCUAUACCUGUGUUAAGUCCAACAUGUUAACUUGCACUGCUGUGGAAGUUAGUUUAAAAUGGUUAUGAUUUGACCGAGGCUACAGGAAUGUUUC